GCCCGAGUGGCGGAAUAGGCAGACGCGCCAGACUCAAAAUCUGGUCCUUCACGGGAGUGCCGGUUCGACCCCGGCCUUCGGCA
rnacentral:tRNA from 1 species